GAUUACGACAGUUCACAUAGUGGUUGUGCGAAAACUCAUUUAGAGAUUACAAGAAAUCUUGGGUUCCUAGUACUCUUUACAUAUACUCAAUGUCAAGUGCUUGUGUAUGGAAUUUUAGAAGUUAAGUCAUUGUGGGCUUUUGUGUUUGUAUUUGGACAUCAUUAACGAGUUACAUGUUGUCUUCUCAGGGCCUUCUAGUCUGCAUGACGAUUGACUUAUGUGGUGUAUAGAUGGAGGCCAAUAUUUGUUCUCUUGUUGGGGUUUGCUUGCUUGAUGAGGUUCUUUGGCUAGAGUUCCCGGCUAGCAGACUUGUACUUAUUCAGUCCACAGUUGCUACCAUUCCUAAUUACUUUAUGUAAUGUCGCAUGCUUCGCAUAGGCAUACUCAGCAAACUGGAUCUUAUUAAUAGAAAUUUUUUAUGAGGUGGCAGUGAGCAUUCAAAGAAAAUGCAUCUGGUUAGGUGGGAAACUGUUACACUUCCCAAGGCUGAGUGGGGAAUUGACACUCCUGCUAAACCAAAAAACCAAUCCCUUCUUGUUAAGUUGGGGUGGCAAUUCAUCCACGAGAAGGAUAAUCUCUGGGCGAAAACGCUUGUCGCCAAGUACCCCUCGUAACCCCCCUUCGCUUGACUAAUACGUCCUUUACCUGGAUCUCGCUUAGAAAGGUUAGUCCUCUGCUGGAAGCUGGUAUGAGAUCGGUGGUACGGGUGGCACGAUUGUUAACUUUUGGAAUGAUAACUGGUCUGGGCUUCGACCUUGAGAAGUUUUGUCCAAGUGCCCCUGCGAGCUUUGGAAAGCACUUGGAACUUUGAGCAGGUGAGAGAGGGUCGGGUCUCUAUGCAACCCCCCGGGAAAUUUUGGACUCCUUUUUUUAAGUACCCCUAUAUCUCGACCCGCUUCAUUGUUCAGAUUCUUUUUGUUGGAGUCCCUUUAAAUGGGGCAUUUUCUCUUUAUCCACUGCUAACGCUCUUGCCCUCGACUCUCCCCCUAUAAAUUCCAACAACGGUAAGGAGCUCUGGACGACAGUAUGGAAAGCCAAACUUCCUUCUAAAUUGAAAGUCUUUCUGUGGAAAUGUGGGUUGAAAUCUCUCCCAUGAAUCUGGUUCUGAGCCGAAGAGGCUUAACUGUACUUGAUCAGUGCCCAUUACGCUCUAAUCUAGGGGAGAGUAUUCAACAUUUGUUCUGGGAUUUCCAUGUCACUAUCACAGAUUUGGAGUCAUAUCCUUGUUACAUUUCAUUGUCUGUCAAUUCCCAUGAUUGAUCGGGUUCAGUGGCUAGAUGCCAACCUAUCUUCCUCGAUGUGGUUGCACAACCCAUGCCUAAUGGUGUAUUAUAUGCAUAACCAAUUCUUGUACAAUUCUAGCCACACAUAUAAACUAUAUAUUUAUGCUUGAAUGUCAAGUUUCUAUAAAUGAAUCCUGAAAUUAAGCUUUAGCAACUUUA